rnacentral:rRNA from 1 species
AGUGAACGCUGGCGGUAGGCCUAACACAUGCAAGUCGAACGGCAGCACAGUAAGAGCUUGCUCUUACGGGUGGCGAGUGGCGGACGGGUGAGGAAUACAUCGGAAUCUACUUUUUCGUGGGGGAUAACGUAGGGAAACUUACGCUAAUACCGCAUACGACCUACGGGUGAAAGCAGGGGAUCUUCGGACCUUGCGCGAUUGAAUGAGCCGAUGUCGGAUUAGCUAGUUGGCGGGGUAGGGGCCCACCAAGGCGACGAUCCGUAGCUGGUCUGAGAGGAUGACCGGAAACAGUGGGACUGAGAGAGGGCCCAGACGCCUACGGGAGGAAGAAGGGGGGAAUAUGGAACAAUGGGCGGAAGAAGGAGGCAGCAACGCAGCGUGCGGGAUGACGGACUGAGGGUUGUAAAACGAUUUCGCCUGUGAAGAAGCGUGAGUGAAGGGAAUGGGUAAAGAAGAACCGGCUAACUACGUG